rnacentral:rRNA from 1 species
CCUACGGGAGGCAGCAGUGGGGAAUAUUGCACAAUGGGCGCAAGCCUGAUGCAGCGACGCCGCGUGGGGGAUGACGGCCUUCGGGUUGUAAACUCCUUUCGCUAGGGACGAAGCUUUUUGUGACGGUACCUAGAUAAGAAGCACCGGCUAACUACGUGCCAGCAGCCGCGGUAAUACGUAGGGUGCGAGCGUUGUCCGGAAUUACUGGGCGUAAAGGGCUCGUAGGUGGUUUGUCGCGUCGUCUGUGAAAUUCCGGGGCUUAACUCCGGGCGUGCAGGCGAUACGGGCAUAACUUGAGUACUGUAGGGGUAACUGGAAUUCCUGGUGUAGCGGUGAAAUGCGCAGAUAUCAGGAGGAACACCGAUGGCGAAGGCAGGUUACUGGGCAGUUACUGACGCUGAGGAGCGAAAGCAUGGGUAGCGAACAGGAUUAGAUACCCUGGUAGUCCAUGCCGUAAACGGUGGGCGCUAGGUGUGAGGGUCUUUUCACGACUUUCGUGCCGUAGCUAACGCAUUAAGCGCCCCGCUGGGGAUACGGCCGCAAGGCUAAAACUCAAAGAUAGUACGGCGNGAGAGACGCGACGACGACGACGACGGAGGAG